rnacentral:lncRNA from 1 species
AAAAAAGUGUGAGAAAGUAUCAAAGAGGGCACAUUCAGCUGCCAUUCUGCUUUUUAAUCACCAGCUCUUGCAUGGCAGCACUUUACCACCACUGUUCUUAUAAUUCCUAUAGUGUCGCUGUUGUUUCAUGUCUCUUGGUGGUGUACAAACAGACUAGUAUAGUCCUAGAACACGUCAUAGACCGGUGUUUAAGUCAAAUGUAGUUCCUCAGUGCUACAUAAUUAAAUAUUUAAUUAUAUUCUCAUGAUUUUUUAGCUAGAUGCAUUAAAAAGACUAUGUUAUCUGGAGGGAGAAAAAAGAUGGUUAUAAAAUAGCUAUGACAUGCUUCAAGAAUAGCACCUUAUGAAAUCUUAUUUUCAGCCUAUGUUCAAAGAAAUAGUUAUAAUCCUGUAAACUUCUGGGGCCCUUGCUUCCUGUUUGGCACUUUUUCUCUACAAAUCAUUAGGUUGUUCCCAGGCUAGGGGUCGAAUUGGAGCUGUAGCUGCCUGCCUAUGCCACAGCCAUAGCAACGCAGAAUCUGAGCCAUGUAUGUGACCCACACCACAGCUCAUGGUAAUGCCAGAUCCUUAACCCACUGAGCAAGGCCAGCGAUCGAACCUGCAUUCUCAUGGAUACCAGUCAGGUUCAUUACUGCUGAGCCACGAUGGAAACUCCCCCAUUAAUCUGUGUGUAAACUGAGUUUAGUAGCUAAAUCUUGCCUUACUAUUGAUCCCUAAAAUUAAAAUUUUAAAUGAUUUUUAACUGAUACAGUAAAUUAAUAUAAAGUCCUUUACCUUUGUAUAUUGACUGGAGGUUUGCAACCUUUUGUCUUUGAUCUGCUUUUUACUGUUAUUCUUCUUUAUCUGACCAGUUUCAUUGAUUUCUUGCCCUUGGCAUACUGUAUACUACCAAACUUCUUUUUAAAGAAAUUUUGCUUUUUAAAAAAAAUUUUUUUAAGGCCACGCUUGUGUUGGGUGGAAGUUUCCGGACCAGGGAUUGAAUCAAGAUUUUGCUUUUUAAAACUAGAUUUGUGAAAGUAAUCAUUUACACUUGCUGCCAGCCCACUUCUGUAAAAGCUGCAAUCUGUCUCCUGCCGCUGGCACCUGACUGAGUAUUUAUUUGAAGUUUACUGGUGAUCCACUAAUUAAAACUCCAGUGACUUCUCUGUUCCUUUAUUUCUGCCACAUUUGAAUUUUUGACCACUUUCUCCUUGACGUUCUCAGUUCUAUCCGCUUCCCAUUGAGUACUCUUCACUCCAUCCAAUUGGGACUUUUUAUAUAUGUCUUCCUUUAAAAAAAAAAAAAAUCUUCCUUCCAUCUGGUCAUGCAAAGCCCCCACCGGAAAUAUCAGCACAUUCUCAUUUCUGCCUAUUACGGAUCCUACCUGUGCUUUUAAGACCUACUUCAUAUGUCAUCUUUCCUCUUAGCUGUUUUAAAUACUCUUUCUUAUUUCUAUAGUCAUCUGGUUUCUACCUAGAGUACUUUUAGAAUGCAUGUUUUUCUUUGACGGUAUGAUUUUGCACAGUUGUUUUUUUUUUUUUUUUUUUUUAAAUCAUGGGAGUAGAAAGGCCACCAUUGCAACUUCCUCAAUGUUGACUGUAAUCAGUAACCAUAAACACUCAUUUAAUAUGCUGUGGUAGAAAGAAUGAUGACUCCCCAGUCAUUCCUAAUCCUCAGAACCUCUGAUUAUGUUAGGUGUAACAGAUGCCAUUAAGGUUGCUAAUCAGUUGACCUUAAAACACAGAGAUUAUCCUAGAUUAUGCUGGUGGGUCCAAUAUGAUCAUAAGAAUCCUUAAAAAUGGAAAAGGGAGGCAGAAGAGAGAGUCAGAGUGAUGUAUUGUGAAAAAGAACUUGAUUAGCCCCUAUGUUAAAGAUGGAGAAAAGAGAGCCAAAAGCAAGAAUGAGAACAGCCCUUAAAAGGUGGAACAAAUCAAGAAAACAGAUUCUUCCCUUGGAGACUCCAGAAGGAAUGCAGCCUUGCUGACACCCUGAUUUUAUCCCAUCAAGACCUGUGUCAAAUUUCUGACCCACUGAACUAUAAGAUGUACAUAUUCGGAAAUUUCAGAGGCAGUGGGAUAAGGAAAAUGGGAAAAUAAAUAAACCAAUUAUUUAAAAACUUAAUUCCUUCUCAGAGAACUUACCAGUUUUGCAACAUGUCCCUGCCCCCGGUUGUUUUUCAAAUGAAUUAUGUGUAAUGUAAUCAUCCCAAGAGAGAGAGCCUUUAUAGGGUGUAUUGAUUUCCUUUUAUCGGGGCUUUGUUUCUUUCAUUUUUUUUCUUUUUUGGCUGCUCUGUGGAAUAUGAAGUUCCUGGGCCAGGGAUCAAAUCUGAACCACAUUUGCAACCUAUGCCACACCUGUAGCAAUGCCCGAUUCUUAACCCACUGUGCUGGGCCAGGGAUUGAACUUGCGUCCCAGUGCUCCCAAGAUGCUGGCGAUCCCGUUGCGCCACAGCAGGGACUCCUAUUUGGGCUUUGUAAUUUGAAAAAGUUAAGGAUACCUUGCUUAUUGAAUAAGGCAGCUGCCUAGGAGUAGGAGCUGUGAAAUGAAAAAACUAAAGCAAUUUAGUAACAAGUUAGAUAUCCUUUAUUCAAGGGAAAAUAGACUUCUGUAGGGAUUUGGGGCAAAAGCAAGUUUUAUAGAGCAUUAGAAGAGGCAGCUCAAAAACAGGGGAUGACUGGCUAGGUGCUCAGGGGGUUCCUUAUUAGGCAAGCAGGUCCUCUUUUCUAGCUACCUGACCCUGAGUGGGAGGAUUAUGAUUAGUGUGUGUUGGGUUUCCUUGACAGUGAGGUGUUGCCCCUAAGUGCAGGCUGACUUAGGUUUAGAUUUGCGAUGAUGUGGACCAGCUCAGUGGGGUCACCUCCACUUUGUAGGUCCUGAUAUAUGAAUUAACUUUAUUAGAGCCCAAUAAAUAUUAAUGGAAUCAGUAAGCAAAUGAAAUUGAGGAGUGAAUGGAGGAUGUUUUUAUUCAUUCUCCUAAGAAGUGAAUUAAGUACUUUUAACUUUUCAAAUGCACUAUAUUUUUUCCCUUCUCUGUCCUACCUUGCUUCUCCACUCUUAUACAAGUAGAAGACUUCCUUUACCUGGAACCUUCUUCCUCUUUCCCUUUGAAUAAGUUCCAGUGAUUCUUUUUUUUUUUUUUUUAAACAAGCAAGCAAAGUCUUUAUUAAAGGAAAGCAGAUAGCUCCCAGGGCUGCUGGAAGCAGGGAGAAGAGCCCCCUUUCUCUAUCAUCCUAUAGGGGUUUUUAUCCCUUAAAGAUGGGGGGAGGUACCAGUGUGGGGUCCAGAAAGAUGUGGUUUUCUCCCACUGGCCUUGUUCAAUUAUCUAUAUCAGUCCUUGUCCAAUAGGAUCUUAGGGGUGGAAAUGUCCUGAAAGUCUCAUAGUUUACAGGAGAUUAGGGAUUAAUGUCCAUCUGGGCAUAGGUACACUCCCUAUAGUAAACAAGGCCUGUGGGGAUAUUACUCCCUUGGAGCCCUUAAGCAACAGUGUUAAUCAAUGGCCAUAUCAAAAAAUGCAUCAAGGCCCAUGCUCCUACACUGACUACCUGAGUUAAUAUUCUGCCUCAAUCCCCCCUCUAGAGUUGGAGACUGUUAACCAAGCGGGGAGAAAAGGGGUGACAGCUGUUCUGGCUGCUUCCUGCUGAAAAGGGGCAUCGUUAGGGGAAAGCAAUUAGGUCUCCAGUCAUGGGAUGGUUGAGUGGGCUUUGAUACAUUACAUUGGGUACCCCUUCUAUCACCAUAUGAAGGUUGAUAGCUUCUAAUUGGGAUGUAAUGAAAUGGGAAAUACAAUUAACUAUACAGGGUCCAAAUAAUAGGAUCAAGAUCACAAUGAUGGCUGUGGUAAGGAAAUAUUUUCACCAGGAGGAGGAGGUCAACCAAUUCCAGAGGGCAGCUCCAAAAGCUGGAGUUGGAUCUGACAUCUUAUGAAUCUGUUCCUGGAGGUUUUCCUGUUUAGUAACUGAUGUCUCAAUGUCUUACUUGACUUCUGUUAAACCUUGUGGGUGCAGAUGUAUUGGAUCGGAUCUCAGACGAGCCCCCAAAAAGAUGAUACCGGAAAGAUGAUACUGGAAUCUGAGUUCUUGUUUAAGGCAGUCAAAGAAUGAACUCCGCGAACACACAGGCAGCAAGCAAGCAAAGUCUUUAUUAAAGGAAAGCAGAUAGCUCCCAGGGCUACUGGGAGGUGGGAUAAGAGCUCCCCCUCUAGUGAUUCUUAAAGUCUUGGUUUACUUUCGAAACCUUUUAGGAAGGGUCUUAAUCUCUUCACCACUUAUUGUCCCACCCGCUUUCCCACACUGGUCAGGUGCACCUGUUUGGCUUCCCCACUGCACCUUGUACUUCUGUCUUAGCCUUAACACACUGUAGUAUUAUUACCCAUUUAAUUGUCUUUCUCAUUUGACUGUAAACUCCAUGAAGUCAAGGACUAGGUCUUUUUUUGCUCACCAUUGAAUUCCCAGAGCCUGGCAUAGUGUGUAUUUGAUAAAUGUUUAUUGAAUGACAUUCAUGAAAUAUAGUAACAACCUCAGAUGUGUUAAACAUGAAACAUUUGCUCUAAAUGGAUAUAAAGUAUUGUUUUCAGGUUAUUUAUUUGCCUAUCUGUUGAAGCUCAUAACUCUACUUAGUAUUAAAUGUAAUAAUAGUUCUGUAGGCAGAAUGCAGUCUCUAGCAGUAAGAUCUACUUUUAUUUUUAAAAUGAACUGUUGAAUUUGUCCAAACUACAAACUUGACAUUUAAUCUCAGCUUAAUCUAUUUCACCUUUGUAUUUGAGAUUAAAUACUUCUUGGAAGUCGCCAUUUUACUCUUAUUUUUUAAGAAAAUUUUAUCUUUCUCUGACUUCUUCAUUGGAGUCUAGCAUUUUUACAAGCAUGAGCCUCUCAUACUAAGUGAAGUAAGUCAGAAAGAGAAACACAAAUACCAUAUGAUAUCACUUAUAUCUGGAAUCUAAUAUAUGGCACAAAUGAACCUUUCCACAGAAAAGAAACUCAUGGACUUGGAGAACAAAUUUGUGGUUGCCAAGGGGAAGGGAGAGGGAGUGGGUGGACUGGGAGUUUAGGGUUAAUAGAUGCAAACCAUUGCAUUUGGGGUGGAUAAGCAAUGAGAUCCUGCUGUAUAGCACAAGGAACUGUAUCUAGUCACUUGUGAUGGAACAUGAAGGAGGAUAAUGUGAGAAAAAAAA